rnacentral:rRNA from 1 species
AGAGUUUGAUCCUGGCUCAGGAUGAACGCUGGCGGCGUGCUUAACACAUGCAAGUCGAACGAAGCACUUUACCACGAUUCCUUCGGGAUGACGGUUUAGUGACUGAGUGGCGGACGGGUGAGUAACGCGUGGGGAACCUGCCCCAUACCGGGGGAUAACAGCCGGAAACGGCUGCUAAUACCGCAUAAGCGCACAGUACCGCAUGGUACGGUGUGAAAAACUCCGGUGGUAUGGGAUGGACCCGCGUCUGAUUAGCCAGUUGGCGGGGUAACGGCCCACCAAAGCGACGAUCAGUAGCCGGCCUGAGAGGGCGACCGGCCACAGUGGGACUGAGACACGGCCCAGACUCCUACGGGAGGCAGCAGUGGGGGAUAUUGCACAAUGGGCGAAAGCCUGAUGCAGCGACGCCGCGUGAGCGAAGAAGUAUCUCGGUAUGUAAACUUCUAUCAGCAGGGAAGAUAAUGACGGUACCUGACUAAGAAGCCCCGGCUAACUACGUGCCAGCAGCCGCGGUAAUACGUAGGGGGCAAGCGUUAUCCGGAUUUACUGGGUGUAAAGGGAGCGUAGACGGCGCAGCAAGUCUGAUGUGAAAGGCAGGGGCUUAACCCCUGGACUGCAUUGGAAACUGCUGUGCUUGAGUGCCGGAGGGGUAAGCGGAAUUCCUAGUGUAGCGGUGAAAUGCGUAGAUAUUAGGAGGAACACCAGUGGCGAAGGCGGCUUACUGGACGGUAACUGACGUUGAGGCUCGAAAGCGUGGGGAGCAAACCAGGAUUAGAUACCCUGGUAGUCCACGCCGUAAACGAU